rnacentral:rRNA from 1 species
GGGCCCGCACAAGCGGUGGAGCAUGUGGUUUAAUUCGAUGCAACGCGAAGAACCUUACCUACUCUUGACAUCCAGAGAACUUUCCAGAGAUGGAUUGGUGCCUUCGGGAACUCUGAGACAGGUGCUGCAUGGCUGUCGUCAGCUCGUGUUGUGAAAUGUUGGGUUAAGUCCCGCAACGAGCGCAACCCUCGUCCUAUGUUGCCAGCACGUAAUGGUGGGAACUCAUGGGAUACUGCCGGGGUCAACUCGGAGGAAGGUGGGGAUGACGUCAAAUCAUCAUGCCCCUUAUGUCUUGGGCUUCACGCAUGCUACAAUGGCCGGUACAGAGGGCUGCAAUACCGCAAGGUGGAGCGAAUCCCAAAAAGCCGGUCUCAGUUCGGAUUGAGGUCUGCAACUCGACCUCAUG